UAUCAAACUAGAAAAGCCUUCAGCUAUUACAGCACCUUGAGCCUCUGUGGAYGAUCUCUGAGAAAAAGCAAUGAUUCCUAACCUGACUGCCCAGGAUAAAAGCCAAAGACUUUGAAGAAUUUUCCUGGAAAAAGAAAAAAGAAAAGGAAAACUCUCCAAAACCUCUGCAUGAAAUAAACCCAUUAAAAUUGAACAUGAGAUGUUUAGAAUUGCUAAAAGUCUUAAAGUUAGGGGUGCCUACUCAGGAUAGAAAAGAUUUCAUUUCAAAUACCUGAUCUGUUAUUCCUCCUUUCAUGAAUGUGACAACUGCCUCCUCCCCACUCCUUGGACACUGACAUUUCAAGUCAGAAUUAUCUCUUACCAUGUCCUCAGGAAGAUCUCCUACUUUAUAUAAACAAUUAAAUAUUUAUUGCACACAUCAGACUAAAUAGUCCAGCAUUUAGGUCACACACUUGAGAAUACAGAAGGCCAAGUGUUUGGGUUUUUUCAUAAGAAAUGCUAUCCUGGAGCAGAAAAAUAUUUCCUGAAAAAAAAAAUAACUUGCUCAAA
rnacentral:lncRNA from 1 species